rnacentral:lncRNA from 1 species
CUCAGCCCUGUGAAUUUCAGGGGCUGAUGAAAUUGCUCCUCUGCUCCGGCUCUCUCCCUGCCAGGAAUGAAUAAAUGGGGCGGGGGCGGCCGGAAGAAUCAAAUGCCAGCUAUCUGACAGACAGGUGCCUUCUUGAGUGCUACGGAUACAACAAGGCAAGAAACUGAAGACCUUCCAUACCCAAGAAUUGAUCCUGGAUGAAAUCAAUAACUUCAGGUACAUUUAUGGAUGCCAUGUCCUCAAUGGGUUGUUAGAAGGCGUCUUUCAAGUUCCACUGCUGAACGUUGAGGUUAACAGCAGGGAAAUGUUAGCUGUUGUUAACAAAUAAGUCCAAAACUAUUAAUGAGUUGUGUGUGUGCUCAGUCGUG